ensembl:lncRNA
UAAGAGUUGAAGUUCUUUUGACUGAAACUUCUUUUGACAGCUAUGAAAGCACUGUAUUACUAUGGGUAAUGAGACUGAAGCACUGAACGUAGAAGAAGAAAUGACUUGUGACCUAUAUAACCAAAUUCUUAAAGGCUUAUAUUAAACAAAGGCAGAUGAGAGAAAUACCAUAGUAAGGAAUUCUGGGAAAAGGCUCAUAAGGUCUUUGAAAUGAAUACUUGUAAGUGCUUCCAGAUGACAAGCUAAGAGAUUCAAAUGUUCAUUUAAAAUUAAGGGUUUGGGUAGAAGCUGCUUCGAGGAUUGUUCCCAAGAGAGACUGCUGCUGAAAUGAGUAAAUUCCAAAACUUUUCUGGGAC